rnacentral:rRNA from 1 species
AUGCAACAAAUGACAGUAAUGAGUCAUCUACAAAGUGAUAACAUGGCAAUACCUAUAACAAGUUUCACAUCAUUCUUGACUGCUGGCAUAAGCUCUGAGUUUCAGCAUCAAGCAGCAGGACCAAGUGCAGGCAACAAUGGGCAACAACUUAAGUUUCAGCAUCAAGCAGCAGGACCAAGUGCAGGCAACAAUGGGCAGCAACUUAAUGAUUGGUUACAAUAUUCUUUACCUUUAGACCAAGAGCAUGAAGAUGACGAUGAUGGUAACAACAAUGAAGAAGCAAAUGUCAGUGAGAGUGAAUCUGAUGGUGAGCAUGAAGAUGAUUAUGAUGGUAAUAAUGAAGGUGAAGCAACUCGCAGUGAGACUGAAUCUGAUGGUGAGCAUGAAUUUAACUGCAACAAUGAUGCAAAUGAAGAUUACGUAGAGUGCAAUAGUGAUCAAAAUGAAACUGAUGUAGAGGAACAAUACCUGGAACAAAUUAUGUUAUCAUCUAAUCAGUUGCUUGAGGAACAACAUCAUUCAGAACUGCAACAGUUGGAACAAAGAUGGAAUCAUCACGAUUCAGUGUUUGAGGUACAAAUGAUAACAACUGAUCAACAAGUGAGAGCAACGAGCUCUGAAGCAGCUUUGCAAGGCCCUGAUUAUGCAGAAACCACUGCUACAGAUGGCACUAGUGGAAGCGAUGAUUCAGAGUUUGAAAAGGAACAGAAAGAAGAUCAGGAACAAGAAACAGAAAUUUAUGAAGUGGAUGGCAGUGGUGGUUUUGAACAGUCAGAUGAACAGGAUCAGGAUGAGAGUACUGGUGCAUCAGGUGUGGAAAAAAUGGCAGGUACUAAUAAGGAGCAGAACAAAGUUGAAGAAAAAUUAUCUCAGGAAGAUAUAGAAUACUUCCUUGAGAAUGACAGCAUAGAAAAGGCAAUAAAAUUGAGCCAAGAAGAUGAAAAAAGGCACAUGCCAAGUCUUGGAAUGACAUUUGAAAGUGAUGCUCAUGCACACUGA